UUUCCUUUUCAAGCAAAUUACAAACAGUGGACGACGUAUUCUUUUACGCAAUAUUUUCCGCGUGUUCACGACGUAGAACAGGACUACACUGUAGUCCGCUAAGAAAAUUCAGGCGGAAAGUGACAAAACUUAGCAACUACGUUUUUCAGCGUACGCUGCGCUUUGUGAGGUAACGUCGGAUUUGAGUAUUAAAUUUACCUUUAGUUUUUUGUUAUACCACACAUAAGGGCUAGCCAGUGGGCUUGACAAAUGUAUAUUGUCUAUUCUUAGCUUUACGGAAUGUACACCCUUGCAACUUUUUAACAAUAACGCGCAAGCGCCGACCACACGACGUGUCAGUUGCCUUGCAGUGGUGAGGGGCACUCCUGAAGCGAACAGUGCAGCAGUACACAUUCGAACUAGAGUUCGCCUUGCACGACCGCACGUAAAGUUGCCAAUCCCGCCGUCCUUGGCCACUACAAGGCUGCGGACACGCCUUACCAUCGACGCUCGCGUGCUAUUGUUAAAAAAUUGCAAGGGUGUACUCGUGUUCGCUGUUGCUCCAAGAAAAAGAAAGCAUGCGCGAGCUCUCAACAAAGCUCACCAAGCGACGUUAGCUCUCAGCUAGGAUCAAGUGUUCGGCUUGUUUGAGUGAAAGCAAGGUGGGACUUGUUUUUCUGUUGUGCAAUAUUUUAUUUGUUUUGAUGCCGGCAUAUCAACCUGCCACAUAUGAGGGAACAUGGUAUCCAGUAUUGCUUUUGUUCCUUCGUUAGCUGCGGUGCGAGUGCUUUAGUGCAUUACCAUCGGCAAAUGAUUUUGCCAGGCCACUGAUUAAGUUCCUUCAUUUUGAAAAUAGUUAGUGGCAACGCUGGUCUGCGUGGCUUUGUGUACUCUCAGAGCAUUUUAAAACCACAGCGCGGAAGAUGCUGGCAUUUGAACCGUGAACAUACGCUGUCAUCACGCUCCUGGCCAGGAAGAGUUUCUCGUAUAUUGUCCGCUAGCCGCACUUCCUGCCUCUGACAAAGAAUUACUAACUGUAUGAUUGGCUGACUACAAAAAAUGAGAAAGAAAUGCUCAAAAUUUUCAUAAAUUAACCUGCAGCAACACCAUUUCGUAAAAAGAAAAGCAAAGCAACAUGUGUCAUUGUAUGACGUAGCUAAUACUAUACCGUUAGCGUAAUGUGUCCACCGUUUUAAUUGUCAGGACGGUUUUCUACUUUGCGUCAUUCUGCUAGACUUUGUUACGAAAAUAGCUGACGUGUAACUUGUUUGCGACUGAGCAUUUAGUGAUCGGGGGCAAGGGGAACGGACGGAGGCAGUGCGGGAGGGACCUCGACUCUGCCAACAAGUGCGUACUUUGCGCGCGCGACCGCGCGCCGUGUCUUGAAAUUGAUCUGCAUAUGGCCCAUGCCUUUGUGCGCGCUGUGUUCUCGCCGCUCUUGCGUUGAAGCCACGGAUCGCACGAAGGUCACUUCGCUCGCCGCUGCUGCUGCGCUUGCUGAUGCCAGCAUUAUCGAGUGUGAUGAGUUCACGUUUGCUUGUGCGCACUGACACCAUGCUUGUUAAUUCAGUUAGUAAGCAACUGUUUCCCUGUUAACACUGCCGAUAAAACUGGUAUCCUUGCUUCGUAUAACUGUCUACUAAUCUUCUAUCGCAAUCGGCGCUUCGCGUUUCCGGUGAAAGUGCCACUUCUUUUUAUAAAAGCAGCGCGUGGAGCAUAUAGCACAAUCCGGCCUGAAAAGACGAAUAAGGUGACUUUACUUGAGCGACAGAUUGCAAUGUUCAGGUUGCUAGUUAAAGCUACUUACUGAAUAACUUCAUAAGUAUUCUAUUUGAAGCAUAUGUACAGAUUCCGGAAUUGUGACCAAGAAGUAAUCAAGUCGUCGCAUCACGUCUCCACUGAUCGGCUUCAAUUCCGCACUUUCAUCAUGUGCCCUCAAGUGAAGGUUGACUGAAACGAAAUGGUAAUCUGGCUGGAAUAAACAUAAUUUGGAAGCGGCCUCCUCCCACACGGUUCUCACACUCGUGCACUGCAGGCCUUCGUUGACCACUCUUCAAAAAAAAAAGAAUUGUGCUUAAUUCACUGACUUCUGUACAACCAUGCUACUGCCGUAUGUAUAUUAAAGGACCACUGUUCAGGUCA